GGAAGAUAAAGUCAGAGUGUCAUUGUCUCCAGGGCUCCACUCAAUUCUAAAGCGCAGCAAGGGUUGAGAAGAGAACCUGAUGUGCUACACUUCUGAUGUCUCAUCUUAGCGGGGGAGAGAAGCAGAGUUUGCGCAAAUGCCUCCCUCUAAAACAUUAGCCCCGUAAAACAACGGGUGAGAGGUGCUUAUUCCAUUUAACGGACAGAACUACUAAGUCAGAGAGAGGUGAAGACGUAAGGGCAACUCGCAGAAUCUUGGACCCACAUCUCCUGGCUUGCCUGAGCUGCUUGGAAUAUACCAGUAAAUGUAUUCAAGAGGAAGGAACCUCCAAGCCCCUCUCUUUGACUCCCCUCCUCCCUGGGCCUAACAUGGGUAAGUCCCUCAGCUCAGGUUCGUGGGUAGAUGGCAACUACUUACUCAUCUCAUCAGAGGGAUGUAUCGUUCACAAGCUCUUGAAGUUCACCUGGGAAAGAGGAACUGGGAGUGGGUGUCAAUCAGAAGCCCUAAGACCAGAUACACAUGAGCAAACUCUGUGAGAAAAGGGAAGGAGGCAAAUAGCCUGAGGUCUUAGAACUUUCCUCAAAAUCAAUCAGGAGUCACGUUCUGAUCAGAAGGGUCGAUAACAGGGUCAUGAGGACCGAAAUGUUCUAGGGUUUCAUUUCUUUCCGCCAGCCGCCACCUGCUAUUUUUUACUGGGACUCUUGUGAACAGGGCGCCUUCUUACCUGUGCUUGCUUAAAAAGCAAACACGGAAACAUUUGUUAAGCUCCCCUCUCCUGUUUCUCAAAGCAGCCCAGGAAGUCAGGCUGACUGAAAGAGGCCACAGCAAACAUAAACUUGGGCAGGAAGGGGUUUGGAGUGGGGGCUGGGCGGAAUAUAUAAGUAUUUAUAUAUAUAUAUAUAUAUAUAUGAAUUUUUCCUUCUCAAUCUCUUUAUUCAGAUUCCUCCAUGCUCUGCUUCAGAAAUAGGCCCAUCUAUUUGGGAAUGUGUCCUAUGUAUAUUUCAUUCCACUCUUUGCAGGAGUAAUUUUCAAUCCCCAGGAAAGAGCAAGACAGGGGACGGGAAGGGGUGGGCUGGCUGCCUCCUGCAGUGAGGAAUGACAGCAGACAGGGUGCGGGGGAAGGGCUGACAUUACACAAUCCCCAGAUCAGCAUUUCUGGGGCGGCCAGAAGGUUAUUCCUCAGGGAAGCAUGUUCUAAACCAGCAGAAAAUAAAUGCUGCUUCAAAAAUAAAUGUUUCAGGCCGCGACUUUCCUGGGUCAAAGUAGCCUUGUUGUUAUUCUUCAGAGUAACGUGCACCAGUGUACAGAGGCCACUGCUCUGAAAGCGCUUAUUUCUGAAGGUGCUGGGUCCUCAUUUUCAUAAAGAAAUAAACUCCUAUAGGCCCUUGGAAUCUGAUUGUAUUUGGAACAAAACUUCUAAAUAUAGGGCCAUUAUCUGUGCGACCGGCUCUGUCUUUUAGCCUCAUUUUGUCUGUUGGCUACAGCCUGCUUCCAGAGCUUGACUGGACUGAGACCGCAUCUCAAUACACAUCUUGGGUUCUUUUUGCUGCUUGAGGGAUGUAGAGAGCAAUGAGGUUCUUUUCAUUAGACACACUAAUAUUCUCACCAAGAAAACCUUGUCUUCCUGGAUUCUUCCAUUUUUCUUAGGAUAAAAUCCCAUUUGCAGAGCAAAGCCUACUACCACACACCCAUCUCCUGGAUGGGGAGGUUGGUUUCUGUCUUAGUGUUUUUUGAUAACGGACCCACCCUCAACCUGGUUACUUAAAAUUGAAGGAAGGAGUGGAGUCCAAUCUAUUCAUUCACCAGACACUUAUCUCUUGGGCCCUGUCCCAUUGAUACUUCCUUGUUCUACAGGACCAAUGCAUUUCUUGCCCUUAUGGAGCUGUUUGCUCAUGUUAGUAAAUAAUCAUGUCACCUAACCUGCACAGCGUAAGUGCCUUGGGAAAGGCCUGUGAAGGCAGAGGGCGAGGGCUCAGAGUAAAAGUUAGGGGUUUGAGAAUUGACUGCCACAGGAAGUGACACUUCAGAUGAGACUCAACGGGUCAGGAUGGGUAGUAAAGAGAAGCCAGAAAGGCAAGUGUUCAGUGGUGAGAUGGCACAGGUGAGUGCCCUGGGAGAAGGCCAGCCCCUGCCACCAUGCUUGCCUGGCAUUGGUAAAUGUGUGGCACGUGAUGGGGGCACAGUGGAGGGACACCAGAGCUGAACCAUACCUGGGUCAGUUGAAAGGAAACAGGAGAGAGUAGAUUCCUGGAAGAGAAGAAUUGACAAAGUCACAGAGGUGACCGGGACAAGGGACAUGAGAUGGAGAGUAGGAGGCUGGGGUAGUGUGGGCAGAGAUUUGAGGCCAUUGCGUCAGAAUGGAGGGAGUCAGGAGUACCAGAGGUCAGCUGGGCGGUGAGGACCCAGACACCUGCAUUUUGGACGACUCACGUGAGGCAAGACUGAAAUAGGGAUGUGCUAUGAGACUGCUGAAGAAUCCCCUAGAACUUCUUCAGGUUAAUUUUGCUUGCAAAAGCAGAUGGCUAUGGACUGGAUUUGAUCCUUGGGCUGUGGUUUGCCAAUCUGCACUAUAAAUCACAGACUGGAGGCUCAGGGAAAGUGCGUGACACUGUCCCAAACGCAGUGCUAUUCGCUUUGAAGAAUGAAUGCAUGAAGUGAGACAACCUUGCUGAUGCUCUUUCUAGGGUAAUGGGUUUCUUAUAGUUGAGAAAUGCAAUGAGUAAGUCAGUCAUUAACCAGUUCUUAAAAAGUCUCCUAGCCAAUCCCAAAAAACCAAAUGCCAAAUGUUUUCUCUGAUAUAAGGAGGCUGAUUCAUAGUGGGAUAGGGAGCGGGAGCAUGGGAGGAAUAGACGAACUCUAGACAGGGCAGAGGGGUUGGAGGGGAAGGGAGGGGGCAUGGGGUUAUUAAUGAUGGUGGAAUGUGAUGAUCAUUACUAUCCAAAGUACAAGUAUGAAGACACAAAUUGGUGUGAAUAUACUAUGUAUACAACCAGAGAUAUGAAAAAGUGUCUCUAUAUAUGUAAUAAGAAUUGUAAUGCAUUCUGCUGUCAUAUAUAAAUUUUUUAAAAAUUACAUUAAAAAAAGUAUCCUGAGUGCCCAGCUCUGUGCUAGGCCCUGGAGAAUCCGUAAGAACAAGAUUUCAGGGGCACCUUUUUGUCCAUUCAGUGGGUAGGAGGGUGUUGAUUGGUCACCAUGGGUGUGGGCCUCAGGAUUCCGUGGCGCAUCUAUGGCUCCUUCAGUCUUUUCAUCCCCCAGCUACUCAACAGGCUUAUAGUGAACCUGUACCAAUGCAAGACAGGUUGGCAGAGCUCUGCCAAAGCUGGUGACCCAGCUGUGGCACCUGCCUCUGAGUUGCUUACCUUCAGGGAAGGGAACAGAGUAGAUAAGCCAGUAUCUUUGCUGCCAGAAAAGUACACAGGGGGGUCUGGGGGUCUUCAGAGCAGAGCUCGAUGACUCCCAGCUGGAAGCGAUCAAAGAGGCUGACAAGAUGACAUCUAGUUUCCUGUUAACCCUUUAAAGUGACAUAUGAGUCUGUGCAAAGACUGCAAGCAGAUUCUGAGAAGACAAUGCUCUUUUGUGCGUGUUACAGCCCUCAGGUCCCAUCAGACAAGCCGUACAAACACUGUGUGAUUUCAAAAGUCUUAGAAGUGGAUUCUCUCCCCUCCUAGCAAAUUGACCUUGCUGGAAGCUUGCUAGGAAUUUCCCCAUUUGCCAGCCCUGGAGUUGUGCACCAAAGAGAGUUGUUAAUGAGUGAAAGAAAGACUAAUAAUAAUUCUUACAAGGACUAUGUGCAGAGUUGUUGUGUCUGUUCUGUAGAUGGGGAAGCUGAGGCCAGGAGGAUUAAGUCAUUGACCAAGAUCACAGAAGAGACGGAAGCAAGCCUGAAGACUAAUUCUUCAGACUCUCAGAUGGCUCCCUCCCUCUCUCAGUAACCUGCAGUUUGAUUUGUCUCCUUGUGUGAUCUUCUUCCUUUCUGUUCAGCUCCCUGUGUGACAUUUCUUUCUCUGCUGUGUUUUUCAGACACACCUCUUUCUGGUUCACUUCAACAGCCCUGCACCAGC
rnacentral:lncRNA from 1 species